CAGCUGUUAUCUUGGCUUGAGCUUCACUUCCUUUCAGGAGACUUUUCUUUAGCUCGCCGCUGUUUGUUUAUUUAUUUAUUUAUUUCGCCCGCUCGACGUGACGCUGGCUUUUUUUUCUUUUCUUUUCAGAAGACCAGGCAAAGACGAAGGGCGGCCGUUCGUAUCGCACGCGGGCUGGUCAGUUUGGUGUACAGUUUGGAAUUGCACAUCUAGAUCCAUCUUCUCCAGGUAACCAGCCUCAAACCCAGCUUCCGACAUCUUUUGAAUGGGGUUCAAAGGGCGAUCGACGUACCAGUGCCCAUUGUAGGUAUGCUGUGCUCAGUGGUCUCUCAGCUGCUGUCUUGGGCAUUCGUCCGGGAAGAAUCUCUCCCUCUGUCUCACUUCCUGCCGCUCCUCGUUGCUUCCUGUAGAUUAAGCAGCAGCCACUUGUUCACACACACAGCCUUGGUCUGAUUCUCCACUAAAGCACCUCCAUCUGUGCACAGCUGUUGAAGAGUUUCAUUUCUGUUAGCUUUCAAAUCCUAGUCAAUUUAUGAUCGGGCUCAAACACUUUUUUAUGGUGGUUAUCUGUGUUUAUAGUCUUCAUGUCUACAAUAAUACUACGCUCAGAAGUUUAGUUUUCUGUAUGUAUUUUCAUCUCUUGCCUUACGGAAGUUUCUGUGUCGCAAAUAUGUGAAGAUUUCUGUUAACCAAUCACUGCUGGGAAGAUUGAUUGUUUUGGAUGACAUGAGGGUAGUUGUCCUCAUGGCUCCACAGGACUUCAUGACCUCUCUCUUGCCAGGCUUGAGGUGUCAGGAACUCUUGUUGGUGUUAGAGUAACCAUGGGUUUUCACAAGGCAAGGUGGCUGGCCCUAUGCAAAACCCAUUUCCUAUCUCAUCUGGGCUUGGGACCAGCAUUGUGGGGUAAUAAUAUAAUGUAUAUCCUAGGAAUAUUUUAGGAUUAUUUUGAGAGUGGUUUGGAUAACUAAUUGACAUUGUUUUGUAAUAUAAAUAUGACAAAAUGAUGGAAACUGGCUGAUGAAUUCGAUAAUCUGGAAACAGAAUUGUUUGGAGAGAAUAUACACAAUGAUGUGUCCUUUGUGUAUUAUUAUAGAAAAUAAUGGUUCUGAAUAUAUUCAUUAUGGAAUGAAUAUGCAGAAAUUAAAGAGGACCUUUGGUUUUUGUAGCCAUCUUUCUCUUCUUUGUUUCUCUUUUUUAACCACAGACGCAGGUCACCAAUGUGGUUUUUGUCCUUUACGUUUCUUUAUUUUCGUGCCGCCGUGAGCCGCUGCGUCACACCUGCAAUCAGGCCUGGAAGGUCCCAUUUCAGCUAUUUUGGUUGCUCUCAGUCAAGGUCUUCAUCUUUUCUUUUUUUUUAAAUUCUUUUGACGUUCAAAAAAUGUAAUUUAUUUCUGCCCAGGUGGCCUUUAUAUAUUUGUGGUAUACUGUUGAAACGAUAAAGGGUUAUCAAAAUGGCGCUGGUUUCCUUGUUCCAGGAGGUCCAUCCUGAACGGAUGUCAGCGAGGUCUUCUGCUUCCAUUUUAGCCGAGCGGCACUUUGUUCACUCUAUCAUUUAUGCUGUUUCCACUGUGCCCGUCUGACGGAAGCCUGGGAUGACCUAGAUUUAUGAAAACUCAAUAGCGACCGUCGUGCCAAGAGCUGCCCAUGCCAGCGGCUUAGCCUAGAAGACAAGACCGGGCAUUGCCAAGUGCGUGAGAACGGACCACAGUUAACCUGCGCAGAACUUGUCCGCCGUCGGCCCUGGACCUAUCAGGAAGUCCACCGGAGACCAUUAGCCUUUCUCCCAGUACUGUGGCUGUUACAGGGAUUUAUGGCGCACGGUGAAGUUAAUAUGUAAAAAGACUGAAACCCAGCCUGCCAGCCCCGAGUCCAGCGCUACAAAAUGGAAAAGAGGCUUCAUUACCGCGGUGCGUUUGGACCACGUCGGUGCGUUUGGACCGCGCCGGUGCAUUUUACUGCCACCGGCCCCACAUGAAGGACCCUUUUUUUUCCAAAUGCAGCAGUGGACCAGGACCAGUUCCACACAUUCUGCUAAUAGGCUCCUCACAGGCAACUAGUACAUAAAAUCCAGGAUUUGAACUCGUAGCCACCUGGUUCCCUGCUUACUGCAACAUUUUCUGGCUUGUAGAUGUGGGGAGUAAGGGGGGGGGGGGGUUUUUAGACUAGUCAACUAAUGAGAAACUCUUUCACUGAACCAAGUUUAUGGGUGUCUGCCAGCAUCAUUAAGGUCACUCAUA